GAGAUCCUUGGGAGAGAGCAUAUAAAAGGCUGGCACAAGCCCGUGUUCACACCUGAUUCCUGCUCAGAGCAGAGAUUGCAAUUGCAGUGAGAAACCCCCAACAAGAAUAUCACAGCACUCAUUCUGACAAUGGGGGUUCACACCUUCUAAAUGUGAAGUUGGCAUGGCAAGAGAUCCCUGGGAGAAAGCAUAUAAAAGGCCAGCACCAGUCCAUUUUCAGCAUUCCUGCUCAGAGCAGAGAUUGCAGUUGGAGUUCUGUUCCCCCCACCCCAGAAGCCUCCAGUAAGGACAUCAAAGUUCAACUUCUAGAAAAAGGCAGCACACAGUGCUUACCUCCACUUUCUAAGCAGAAAUAUUUCAGAAUUACAAAAGACAAACUGUAGAAAGAAGUGAAAUUGUGGCAAUGGGAGAGCAGGAAGAAGAAUUACAGAAAGAGAAGGGAUCAAGAAGUCAACCUGAAGAUAAUGAAGUCUCAUCCUCAGGCUCCAUAGGGGACACCAUGAGAAUUUCAAGUGACCCAGAGAAUAGUGGAAGUGAACACAGUUCUGAUGAUGAAUUCAUUUUGGUUCUUUUGCCACCCAACUUUGUCCCAGGACAUUUUGAAUACUUGGAAGAUGCCCUUAUGUGUCCUGACCUCCCUCCUGCCUACCAGACUGAUGACAGUAAAGACAAGAGCAGUGAUGACAGUGAUGGUGACAAUUCUGAUGACAGCACUGAGAAUCAUGACAGUAGCAGUGAUCACAGUGACAAUCACAGCCAUGAUGGUCAUGCCAAUGAUGUCUACAGCAAUGGCUGUGUCAAACUCCACCAACAAGGAAUGCAUACUGUUGGCUCCCACCUUCACAACAUGCAAACUGAGUUAGAACAGAGCUGCACAAAUGCUGUAGAGAGAAGUGGAAGAGCUGUAGAACCGGAAGAGGAAGAGGAAGAAGUGCACAAAGAGAAUGAAGCAAGUCAGCAGACAGAGCAGGAAGCCCCACCUUCAGGCUCCACUUUGGAUGAUGGUGGCACCAUGUCUGCUUCUAGUGACCUAGAGAGCUGUGAAAGUGAAGGGAGUCCUGAUGAAGAAUUAUUGGUGCCUUCUUUGCCCCCCUCAUUUAUCCCAGGACAACUGGGAGAUUUUGAAGAUGACCUUUUGUAUCCCAGGCUCCCACCUGUCUCUCAGAUACCAAGCAAUAGUGAGUCAGAACUUGCCAGAUGGGAGAAGACAGAGCAGCAACCCAGCUUCAGUUCCUCUUGUGAUCUUUGCCUUUGUAGGUUGAUCUGAGGGAGAUUUGGUGCCAUUUCCCAAUGCCAGCAGGAAACCCAAGGCAGCUAAUGUGUAUUCAGACUCUAGAGCCUGCUAGUGACCAGAAGAAAUGCUACAAGGGGGUUGAUGGUGAAACCACCACUUACCUCUGGGGCUUUCCUCAGAUUCUCUCCUGUUUUUCUUUUUCUCAAGUGGCUAGCAGGAUAUAAGGGAAGUCUAUACACUAUGAAAGUCAGUUGAUCUGCACCUUCCUGCUUUCUUCCUUCUUGAGGCAGCUUUUAAGACCACUAAAAAUUUAAGUUAAGAAUAACCUCAAAAUAAUAACAAUGAAUGAGGCAGAAUGACACACAAAAACCCAUCCCCAAUGAAGGGAUCAGGGAAGACUCCCUAACCCACCACUUUGAAGACAUGGGAGGUUUUUGGUUUGGUGUGGAUUUUUUUUUUAUGUGUUGAUCAUUUGUACUGACUUUUCUCUUCCCUUUUUACCCUCUGAAGAAAAAUCAUUUGUUAUCUGAGAUGGCUGUCUGGAAGAGGAUGGGGGAGGAAUGUGGGUUAAGAUUCUGGUGAUAGAGAGAAAAAAAAACAUUUCAAUAAAAUUUAUUUUUUAAAAUCA
ensembl:lncRNA